AACGCGAAGAACCUUACCUACUCUUGACAUCCACGGAAUUUGGCAGAGAUGCCUUAGUGCCUUCGGGAACCGUGAGACAGGUGCUGCAUGGCUGUCGUCAGCUCGUGUUGUGAAAUGUUGGGUUAAGUCCCGCAACGAGCGCAACCCUUAUCCUUUGUUGCCAGCGAGUAAUGUCGGGAACUCAAAGGAGACUGCCGGUGAUAAACCGGAGGAAGGUGGGGAUGACGUCAAGUCAUCAUGGCCCUUACGAGUAGGGCUACACACGUGCUACAAUGGCAUAUACAAAGAGAAGCGAACUCGCGAGAGCAAGCGGACCUCAUAAAGUAUGUCGUAGUCCGGAUUGGAGUCUGCAACUCGACUCCAUGAAGUCGGAAUCGCUAGUAAUCGUAGAUCAGAAUGCUACGGUGAAUACGUUCCCGGGCCUUGUACACACCGCCCGU
rnacentral:rRNA from 1 species